rnacentral:lncRNA from 1 species
ACCAGAGUGGAGGCUUGAAUGGCUUCCAUAAGGCUCAUAUAUUUGAGUGUCGGUCUUUGCAGCUGUAAUACCACCUUUGAUAUUACUACCAAGAAUGCUAGGUGUUAUAGAGGCUGAACAUACCUGCCCAGUGUACUGAUUCAUUUUUGUGUGUCGACUUGACACAAGCUGGAGUUAUCACAGAGAAAGGAGCCUCCCUUGAGGAAAUGCCUCCAUGAGAUCCAGCUGUAAGGAGACAAAGAAGGAGACCCAUCCCUAGCAGACAACCCAGUCCAUUCCUGGGAGAGAGGAUGGCACCCAGCAAUGAGCAGACUCCACUAGACUGUUUUUCAGAUGGAGACAUUGGAGAAGCAGAGAGGAUGUGCACAAGGGAGGUACCACUGGACAUAGAAAGCAAAUGGAGAGACAUGGCAAGGAGAAAGGAUGUCAGUACUGAAGCUACUGCUAAGAGCCAAGAAAGGGGCUGGAAAGAGGACUCAGCUGUCAAGAACACUUGCUUCCUUCCAGACAACUCAGGUUCAACUCCCAGAAUCUUCGUAGGGGCUCACAACUGUGUGAACCUCCAGUCCCAGGGGGGAAUCUGAAACCUCUUCUGGUCUGUGCAAGCACCAGGCACAAAAGUGGUACACAGAUACACACAGAAGCUAAACACCCAUACACAUAAAAUAAAAAUGUAAAAAGGAUGAA